UACGUAGGGUGCAAGCGUUGUCCGGAAUUAUUGGGCGUAAAGAGCUUGUAGGCGGUUUGUUGCGUCUGCUGUGAAAUUUCGGGGCUCAACCCCGAACUUGCAGUGGGUACGGGCAGACUAGAGUGUGGUAGGGGAGACUGGAAUUCCUGGUGUAGCGGUGAAAUGCGCAGAUAUCAGGAGGAACACCGAUGGCGAAGGCAGGUCUCUGGGCCACAACUGACGCUGAGAAGCGAAAGCAUGGGGAGCGAACAGG
rnacentral:rRNA from 1 species